UAUUAUUAUUAUUAUUAUUAUUAUUAUUAUUAUUAUUAUUAUUAUUAUUACUAUUACUAUUAUUAUUAUAUUAAUAUUAUAUUAAUAUUAUUAUAUGGACACGGUACAACAAGUAGUAUGUGCAUUUUCCAGCACAGAUAGUUGGUAUUUUGUGUACAAAAGUGAAAUUGAAAAUAAUUGUUGAACAUUCAUGUCGAGAACGCUCACACUGAGCCUUCAUAGAAAUAUUCGUUUAGGAAACAUAAUAAAUCGAAAGGAAAGAAAGAUCCAGUGACAAAGUUCUUAAGCGGUAGAAAGAAAGAAGAAGGAAUGACAAAAUUAAAAGAGGAAUAGAAGAACUAAAUUCACUCAAUCUUAAUGUGAAAUGAUCGACAAGUCACGAAUUCGUUCAAGCAUUCGAUCAAUGCAAAACAAAUCGAUAAUGAUUAAUUCGCGAAGCAUUAUUGGUAUUAAAUUUAUACGCAAGUAAAUAAAUAAGACGUGUACAUUCAGUUCUGAAAAUCAGCUUUGUCCUUCCUUUUUUUUUAAUCGACGUAAAUACAUACAUAUGUUCUUCGAUAAAAAGCGUUCCGAACGCUCAUCGCUUCUCUCUUUCUUCGCAUUUCGUGUUAUGCAAAAUGUUGAAAUAUCCUUUAUAAAUUAAUAUUGGAACUCAAUCAAUGCGAUGUUCCUUUAUUUACCAUUUCUAUCAAACUAUUCUCAUGGUAAUUCGAAUUAUCCGUCAAUUUUCAACUACUUUUUGUAUUUUAGUUUAGGCGAAUUUCACAGACUUUUACAGGCGAUGCCUCAUUGCUUAGUAGUUGUGUUUUCGAAUCGGCCAUGAUUUGCUUGUAAAUAAUGCUGAGAAAAAAGAGAAGAAGAUGAAAACAAAAAAAAAAAUGUAAGAAUUUCACAACGCUAUUUCAUCUAUUAAUAAUUCCGUUAUUGUGUGCAGAACGAAUAAGGUAUGUACUCGUGGUUAUUAAUAAUGAAUCGAUUGCGGACUAUAAAAAGGAAGAAAAUUCACGAUCCUCGUCCAUUAUAUGGACGGACGUGUUUGUUGUAUUAUAUCUUACUAUUAAUGAUUAAUAUCGAUAAGAAAAUUAACAAACAAUAAGGAUAUAUAAUAAUUUAAGGUGAUGGAAAAAAGGUGUGUGUUAAGGGAUCGACAGCUAUUGAUACUUGAAGUCUACAUUUUUUCCUAAAUAUUACGAAGGGAAGAGAAGGAAGAGAGCACCCAAGGCAUGUCAAGAUCUCUUUUUGCGAAAUGCGUAGAAACAUAAGAAAAAAAAAGAAGAAAAAUAAACCACCAGAAUGUUCGCACUUGCUGUCCGACUCGAAGAUACACCCGGAGAUUUUUACCAAAAAGACUACCGUACGUCGUGGAUUUAGGCAAUUUUAACAAACUGGUUUUUUUUUUUUUAUAUGUUUUAUUUUUAUUUUUAUCUACCGAAAAUUCUCCACACAAAAGAAUGAGAGAAUGGUCAGAGGAGAUGCAUCUGUGUGAGGAAGCGAUCUUGUACUGCGAAAAAUUUCUUCAUGUGGGAGACGAAGAAAAAAACACGAACUCGUGACGUUCGAGAGAAAGAUGAAAGGAAAGAGGAAUGGCGAUAAGGCUACCUCGUCCGGCUAAAAGAAGAAAAAAGAGACAAAACGCAUGUGGAUUUACAAUAUAUAAAUAGAACAAAUUGAUGAAAUGAUAAACAAACAACAGCAUUAACAAGAAUUAACAAAUGUAUCUUGCGUUCUCCUUAGAUUGAUUUUGAAAGAAGAAAAAAGAAAAAAAGAAAAAGAUGCUAUGUUUUUUCGGUUAAAAUCCAAUAUGUUUUUUGUUGUUAGUUCGUACGUACUAUGAUCUAUUACAAUUUAUUGUAUUAUCGACGAGAUACUGUAACAAACAAAAAUACUGUUAACUAUUCUUAAAAAAAAUUAAAACUUUUGUAAACUGAAAUUAAAUGUCUGUGAAAAUACGA